rnacentral:rRNA from 1 species
GACAGAGGGUGCAAACGUUGCUCGGAAUUACUGGGCGUAAAGGGCGUGUAGGCGGGAAGGUAAGUCGGGCGUGAAAUCCCCAAGCUCAACUUGGGAACUGCACUCGAAAACUACCUUUCUUGAGUGUCGGAGAGGAAAGCGGAAUUCCUGGUGUAGAGGUGAAAUUCGUAGAUAUCAGGAGGAACACCAGUGGCGAAGGCGGCUUUCUGGACGAUGACUGACGCUGAGACGCGAAAGCGUGGGGAGCAAACAGG